GAUAUUGAAAGUUAAGUACUGCAAUUCUUGGUCUGAAUAGAUGUGCGUUAAGGGAGUAGAGAACUACACAUUCUUCUGUUGCAGACCACUGUUGAUCAAUGGAGCACUGUCUGUGAAAUGAGUUCCUGCAGUAAGUUCCAUGAGGAUUAGUGUCCACACACAAAUGUUUGACAGAAGAACUAAAAGAGUGUGCAAACUUGGGCUGUAGUCCAGGGAUUGAGUGGGCCAGCAGAGUAUCCUCAAGUUAAUUUAGGCUACAAGCCUAUCUGUUCGCUGUAUUGCAAGAUCGGGAUUUUAAAUGUGUUCUUUCAUCUUCAGAAUACGUGGCUUCUCCUAACCCUGAACUUUUAAGGUGAUUUUGGUUUUGGAUCGUUUUGGGUUUUUUUUUAAUUGAAUGAAAAUACAGACAUUCUGUUUAGUCUCUGAGGAUCACUGUAUGAAAAGUGUAAUUUGUUUUCAGUGUCUAAAUAAGUGAAACUACUUACAUGACCAUGUGUUAGGACUCAUUUUUUCUAUGGCAAGACAGCACUAUCUGUUCUUAAUGCUGUCAUCUUAGAACUUCAUGGGAUUUCUUCAGAGUUCAGUUCCUUUCUCAUGUUUCAGACUGAGACAUGUAAGUCUGACUUAUUUCAAGAGGAUGGCACUUCAGAUCCUGUCCCAGAAAUUGUCUUCUGGAUGCAUGCCUGACAUACUGCAUAAGUGAAGAGGAUGACGGGCUUGUGGGUGUUUGCUUUUUCCUGAGAGGUACUUCAUCUAUUGACCAGAGGUCCUGAUUUUGGUGUAUCUGGCUACAAUCUUAGUAUGACACUGUAAUUCACAUUAACUUACCCCAGAAAGUGUAGUAAGCUGCAAAACUGCCACUGUCAUGUUAGUGAACAACAGAGCUUCACUGUCCAGCAGCUCUGCUAGCUAAAGCCCUUAACGAACUGUAAAACCAACUUUGUGUAUGAAAGCAGCCCUUGCUAUUUACGUGUGGGCUAUACAACAUGACUGUAACCUCCCAUACCAUGUUCCCGUUAGUAACCUGCUAAUUCGUGUGACAGAUGCAUCCCAUCCACAUACAGAGACCUUCUGGCUUCAGAGGAAGUCUCUUCAACUGGGUAGUAUAUUCGACCAUGAAAAUCCACAGAGUCACUUAGUGCAGCUACAGCGUUACUUUUCACUCCUUACCUGCAUACAGUGCCCUUCCAAGCUGCCAGCUUUCUUGCUGUUCCUCAUGCUUUGCUACUGCUAUUCAACUCCUCAGGGAAUCUUGCUAUAAAAACAUGUGGAGUUAAUUUCAGUAUAACUUUGAGGAGCGGGGGUGAGUGGGAGCUUAGGUUAAAUAUACAUGUAGGAUCCAAUGACUAGACAGGACCUCUCAAAAAUGCAGAAGUGGAAAGACCUCAAAUAGUCCUGACAGCUGAAGCAUAAAUUGAGCUUUCUCCAAAAAUAGGUACUUUUCCCUGUUGUUUAGACCAACUAAAGACUGGCAAAGAUCCUCUUCCAUCGCCAUCUGCAGUUCUGACAAACAUCUGUGUCUGCUCAUGUAUUGAGACAGAGAGAAGCAGCAUGGAAAUUGUGACUUACUGUGAGAAAUAAAAAGAUCUUGAGAAAUCAAA
ensembl:lncRNA